rnacentral:rRNA from 1 species
GUGGGGAAUAUUGGACAAUGGGCGAAAGCCUGAUCCAGCCAUGCCGCGUGUGUGAAGAAGGCCUUCGGGUUGUAAAGCACUUUUGUCCGGAAAGAAAUCCUUUGGGUUAAUACCUCGGAGGGAUGACGGUACCGGAAGAAUAAGGACCGGCUAACUACGUGCCAGCAGCCGCGGUAAUACGUAGGGUCCGAGCGUUAAUCGGAAUUACUGGGCGUAAAGCGUGCGCAGGCGGUUUUGUAAGACAGAUGUGAAAUCCCCGGGCUUAACCUGGGAAUUGCAUUUGUGACUGCAAGGCUAGAGUGUGUCAGAGGGGGGUAGAAUUCCACGUGUAGCAGUGAAAUGCGUAGAGAUGUGGAGGAAUACCGAUGGCGAAGGCAGCCCCCUGGGAUAACACUGACGCUCAUGCACGAAAGCGUGGGGAGCAAACAGGAUUAGAAACCCCAGUAGUCC